AAUAACACUUCCCUAUUCACUUUCUCCACAUCAGUCAUGAUUUUAUAGAUUUCUGUCAUAAUCCCCCUUAGUUGUUUCUUCUCCAAGCUGAAAAGUC